CUGCCACCCAUGUAAGAUAUGACUUGCUCCUCUUUGCCUUCUGCCAUGAUUAUGAGGCCUCUGCAGCCAUGUGGAACUGGAUCCUCAUGGAGUGGGACAGUCCUGCAAAUCCUGAAGAAAAAGUUGGCUCACGUCAUAGCCAAAUUCUAAGAUGGUGCCCAGUGAUCUCUGCCUCCCAAUAUUCAUGCCCUGUGUAGUCAUCUGCCAUAUUGAAUCAGGGCUGCCCCUUUGUGACCAAUCAGAUAUUAAGAAAAUGGAAAUGUGUGACUUCUGAGGUUAGAUGAAAAGCAUUGCUGCUCCUGCAAUGAUGGCUCCCUCCAAGGAAAGUCAGUCAUCAUGCUAUGAGGACUCUCAAGCAGUCCUGUGGAGAGUCCCAUGGGCAGAGGAGAUGAGGCCUCCAGCCAAUAGCCAGCAAGAACUUGCUGGCCAUGUGAGUGAACCACCUUGGAAACGUAGCCUCCAGCCACAGUCAAGCCUUCAGAUGAAACUGCAGCCCCAAGUGGCAUAUGAGUGCAACUGCAUGCAAAAUCUCAAGUGAGAAGCACCUAUCUA
rnacentral:lncRNA from 1 species